CGGAUCCUUAUAAAUCCUUUAGG
rnacentral:tRNA from 1 species